CUGUGAGCUCGAUGAGUAGGGCGGGACACGUGGUAUCCUGUCUGAAUAUGGGGGGACCAUCCUCCAAGGCUAAAUACUCCUGACUGACCGAUAGUGAACCAGUACCGUGAGGGAAAGGCGAAAAGAACCCCGGCGAGGGGAGUGAAAAAGAACCUGAAACCGUGUACGUACAAGCAGUGGGAGCACAGAGCAAUCUGUGUGACUGCGUACCUUUUGUAUAAUGGGUCAGCGACUUAUAUUCUGUAGCAAGGUUAACCGAAUAGGGGAGCCGAAGGGAAACCGAGUCUUAACUGGGCGUUAAGUUGCAGGGUAUAGACCCGAAACCCGGUGAUCUAGCCAUGGGCAGGUUGAAGGUUGGGUAACACUAACUGGAGGACCGAACCGACUAAUGUUGAAAAAUUAGCGGAUGACUUGUGGCUGGGGGUGAAAGGCCAAUCAAACCGGGAGAUAGCUGGUUCUCCCCGAAAGCUAUUUAGGUAGCGCCUCGUGAAUUCAUCUCCGGGGGUAGAGCACUGUUUCGGCAAGGGGGUCAUCCCGACUUACCAACCCGAUGCAAACUGCGAAUACCGGAGAAUGUUAUCACGGGAGACACACGGCGGGUGCUAACGUCCGUCGUGAAGAGGGAAACAACCCAGACCGCCAGCUAAGGUCCCAAAGUCAUGGUUAAGUGGGAAACGAUGUGGGAAGGCCCAGACAGCCAGGAUGUUGGCUUAGAAGCAGCCAUCAUUUAAAGAAAGCGUAAUAGCUCACUGGUCGAGUCGGCCUGCGCGGAAGAUGUAACGGGGCUAAACCAUGCACCGAAGCUGCGGCAGCGACGCUGAUGCGUUGUUGGGUAGGGGAGCGUUCUGUAAGCCUGCGAAGGUGUGCUGUGAGGCAUGCUGGAGGUAUCAGAAGUGCGAAUGCUGACAUAAGUAACGAUAAAGCGGGUGAAAAGCCCGCUCGCCGGAAGACCAAGGGUUCCUGUCCAACGUUAAUCGGGGCAGGGUGAGUCGACCCCUAAGGCGAGGCCGAAAGGCGUAGUCGAUGGGAAACAGGUUAAUAUUCCUGUACUUGGUGUUACUGCGAAGGGGGGACGGAGAAGGCUAUGUUGGCCGGGCGACGGUUGUCCCGGUUUAAGCGUGUAGGCUGGUUUUCCAGGCAAAUCCGGAAAAUCAAGGCUGAGGCGUGAUGACGAGGCACUACGGUGCUGAAGCAACAAAUGCCCUGCUUCCAGGAAAAGCCUCUAAGCAUCAGGUAACAUCAAAUCGUACCCCAAACCGACACAGGUGGUCAGGUAGAGAAUACCAAGGCGCUUGAGAGAACUCGGGUGAAGGAACUAGGCAAAAUGGUGCCGUAACUUCGGGAGAAGGCACGCUGAUAUGUAGGUGAAGUCCCUCGCGGAUGGAGCUGAAAUCAGUCGAAGAUACCAGCUGGCUGCAACUGUUUAUUAAAAACACAGCACUGUGCAAACACGAAAGUGGACGUAUACGGUGUGACGCCUGCCCGGUGCCGGAAGGUUAAUUGAUGGGGU
rnacentral:rRNA from 1 species